AUUGAACGCUGGCGGCAGGCUUAACACAUGCAAGUCGAGCGAGCGGCGGACGGGUGAGUAAUGUCUGGGAAACUGCCUGAUGGAGGGGGAUAACUACUGGAAACGGUAGCUAAUACCGCAUACCAUAAGAUGUGCCCAGGUGGGAUUAGCUGGUGGGUGGGGUAAUGGCUCCCCUCGGCGACGAUGCCUAGCUGGUCUGAGAGGAUGACCAGCCACACGGGACCUGGGCCACGGCCCAGACUCCUAAGGGAGGAAGCGGUGGGGAAUAUUGGAGAAUGGGCGCAAGCCGGAUGCAGCCAUGCCGGGGAUGUGAAGAGGGCCUUGGGGUUGUAAAGCACGUUCAGCGAGGAGGCGUUACUCGCAGAAGAAGCACCGGCUAACUCCGUGCCAGCAGCCGCGGUAAUUC
rnacentral:rRNA from 1 species